rnacentral:rRNA from 1 species
AUGGGUAUACCGCCGGAGGAAAAGAAGUUCCUAGAGAUACUCCACAACUGCAACCUGACUUCAAGCUGUAUGAUGACUAUCAUGUUAGAGUUUUAUGGCUCGGAGCUAAAUGUACCAUAUGGACCUAUAGCAAUAACAAACUUAUGUGUUGGCUUAUCCAAAGACUCAACGAAAGAGGGGGACAUUAUUGAGACAAUUGAACAUUUUAACCAUUUGCAAAAAGAUGAUCCAGACUUUUUCUAUAAGAUAAAAUAUGAUCUCGAAGGAAGGGCAGAAUAUAUUUUCUGGGUGGAUGGCUUGGCACGGAAAGCUUAUACAAAGGCAUAUCAUGAUUGUGUCUCCUUUGACACAACCUACAUGACCAAUAUGUACAACAUGCCUUUUGUUCCGUUCAUUGGAAUCAAC